rnacentral:rRNA from 1 species
GAUGAACGCUGGCGGCGUGCCUAAUACAUGCAAGUCGAGCGAACAGACGAGGAGCUUGCUCCUCUGACGUUAGCGGCGGACGGGUGAGUAACACGUGGAUAACCUACCUAUAAGACUGGGAUAACUUCGGGAAACCGGAGCUAAUACCGGAUAAUAUAUUGAACCGCAUGGUUCAAUAGUGAAAGACGGUUUUGCUGUCACCUAUAGAUGGAUCCGCGCCGCAUUAGCUAGUUGGUAAGGUAACGGCUUACCAAGGCAACGAUGCGUAGCCGACCUGGGAGUGUGAUCGGCCACACUGGAACUGAGACACGGUCCAGACUCCUACGGGAGGCAGCAGUAGGGAAUCUUCCGCAAUGGGCGAAAGCCUGACGGAGCAACGCCGCGUGAGUGAUGAAGGUCUUCGGAUCGUAAAACUCUGUUAUUAGGGAAGAACAAAUGUGUAAGUAACUAUGCACGUCUUGACGGUACCUAAUCAGAAAGCCACGGCUAACUACGUG